UACGGAGGAUUUGAGCGUUAUCCGGAUUUAUUGGGUUUAAAGGGUGCGUAGGCGGUCGGAUAAGUUAGAGGUGAAAUCCCGGGGCUCAACUUCGGAAUUGCCUCUGAUACUGUUCGGCUAGGGAGUAGUUGCGGUAGGCGGAAUGUAUGGUGUAGCGGUGAAAUGCUUAGAGAUCAUACAGAACGCCGACUGCGAAGGCAGCUUACCAAGCUACUUCUGACGUUGAGGCACGAAAGCGUGGGGAGCAAACAGG
rnacentral:rRNA from 1 species